CCAGACCACCAGCUAAGGUCCCAAAAUAUAUGUUAAGUGGAAAAGGAUGUGGCGUUGCCCAGACAACUAGGAUGUUGGCUUAGAAGCAGCCAUCAUUUAAAGAGUGCGUAAUAGCUCACUAGUCGAGUGACACUGCGCCGAAAAUGUACCGGGGCUAAACAUAUUACCGAAGCUGUGGAUUGUCCUUUGGACAAUGGUAGGAGAGCGUUCUAAGGGCGUUGAAGCAUGAUCGUAAGGACAUGUGGAGCGCUUAGAAGUGAGAAUGCCGGUGUGAGUAGCGAAAGACGGGUGAGAAUCCCGUCCACCGAUUGACUAAGGUUUCCAGAGGAAGGCUCGUCCGCUCUGGGUUAGUCGGGUCCUAAGCUGAGGCCGACAGGCGUAGGCGAUGGAUAACAGGUUGAUAUUCCUGUACCACCUAUAAUCGUUUUAAUCGAUGGGGGGAC
rnacentral:rRNA from 1 species